rnacentral:lncRNA from 1 species
CUACUCUGGACCACGGUGACCUUUUAAAUAUUCUGCAAAUUGAUUUCCAGGCCAUUCCCACUCUCCCUUGUUUAUAGCCUUGGUAACCCAGAAGAAAAUGAGACUGGCCAGCUGUGAUUCCUGCAUUUCUGUUCUCAUCAGUGCUCAGAAUUACAUUUCUUUCUCUCCCAAAGGCUUCAUGACAACGCUUACUGUUGAUCUAGAGAGCAGCAGCACCAAGAAUCUUCAAUAAGGACAAGUUUAAGAGCUAUAAGCAGUUGUGUGGACUCCUUAGAGCCUUCUGCCUGAGAUGAUGCUGCCAGAGGGCCCUUGCCAGAUAUUGCCACCUUGAUAUUAGACUUCCCAUCCUCCAAAACU